rnacentral:rRNA from 1 species
CAGCCGCCGCGGUAAUACCGGCGGCCCGAGUGGCGGUCACUAUUAUUGGGCUUAAAGCGUCCGUAGCCGGGUUGGGAAGUCCUCCGGGAAAUCUGGCCGCUUAACGGUCAGAAUGCCGGAGGAUACUCCCAGCCUAGGGAGCGGGAGAGGCCGAGGGUAUUCCCGGAGGAGGGGUGAAAUCCUAUAAUCCCGGGAGGACCACCUGUGGCGAAGGCGCUCGGCUGGAACGCGUCCGACGGUGAGGGACGAAGGCCAGGGGAGCAAACCGGAUUAGAUACCCGGGUAGUCCUGGCGGUAAAGGAUGCGGGCUAGGUGUCGGGUGAGCUGCGGGCUCGCCCGGUGCCGUAGGGAAGCCGUUAAGCCCGCCGCCUGGGGAGUACGGCCGCAAGGCUGAAACUUAAAGGAAUUGGCGGG